rnacentral:tRNA from 1 species
CUGACCUUAGCUCAGUGGGUAGAGUGGACUGUAGUUGGACUAAUCUAAAUUGGAAAUCCUUAGGUCGCUGGUUUGAUUCCGGCAGGUUGGA